rnacentral:rRNA from 1 species
UACAGAGGUGCCAAGCGUUAGGCGGAAUCACUGGGCUUAAAGCGUGUGUAGGCGGACUUCUAAGUACCUUGUGAAAUCCCACGGCUCAACCGUGGAACUGCUGGGUAUACUGGGAGUCUUGAGCCACUUAGGGGUCAGCGGAACAAUGGUGGAGCGGUGAAAUGCGUAGAUAUCAUUGGAACGCCAAUGGUGAAAACAGCUGACUGGGAGUGUGCUGACGCUGAGACACGAAAGCUAGGGGAGCAAACAGG